GACAUCUAAGAGUUUCAGGACACCAGCCCUCGAGUGCCCACCCCUGCUAUAGAGCAAACAGAGUAGUGAGUGACAGGAAUGAAAUGUAAUUUUGCCAAGGCAAGAAUUAGUGGAUUGACCAUCGGAGGUGGUUUUAGAGGAACUCAUCCAUGGAGAAUUAGACCAAAGUGAAUUUCUAUUCCUGGAACUAUAGGUGUAGAGGAAAAUAAGUUGUCUGUUUAUUGGGGAUUGGUUCACAAUCAGGACUGUAUGGAGGAGUUAACUCUAUAAAUUACAAACUGAAUCACUUCUCAGGAUCCAGUUCUCAGAGGCUGUACAGCAGAGCACGCUACAAGAAAACAAACAAAAACCUGAAUGAAGCUUUUGUUUGUGGCUCGGUCAAUAUAAUACAAAUCAGACUGAGGUACUUUGGUAGCCCCUACAAUGAGUGUUUAUGCUCAAUUGUCCAGUGGAGAUAAUGUCCAUCAAUUCAGCAAAAGUGGUUCAAACAACCUCUGCAGCAAUACAAAGACAGAUUGCCUGAUAGUACAAAUGAUGGUAACUGCUCCUCCCUAUAGUGAUUGGACAGAAGAUAGGACAUGCUCAAACAGGCUGCACCCUUAAGAUGUUGCAGUGAGAGGAAACGAGGGGAGUGUGUCCUACACCACAGAUGUGACUGUCUGAUAGAAAGGAAGGGGAAGCAUGCAAGAGUAAAGGUCACUUAAGCCCCAUCAGUGCACACAAAUCAUGCUGCAUGAGAUGACUUGACCUGUAAAGGUAUAAAUUGUUGCUGAAGCUUAAUGACUAUCAUACAUUAAACUUCAGCUCUCUGUCGCUGCAUUCUAAAUAAACAUCCAACACACUUUAAGAAACAUGUGGGGUGUUUUCUUUAAUAGCUUCUUAAAGAGUUUAUUUUUGCUUUGAUUUUAUAUUUGAACACUUCACUGAUGCUGAUAAUACUCAACUUUAAGCCUUUUUCCCUC